GAUGAACGCUGGCGGCGUGCCUAAUACAUGCAAGUCGAGCGAACAGAUGAGGAGCUUGCUCCUCUGACGUUAGCGGCGGACGGGUGAGUAACACGUGGAUAACCUACCUAUAAGACUGGGAUAACUUCGGGAAACCGGAGCUAAUACCGGAUAAUAUAUUGAACCGCAUGGUUCAAUAGUGAAAGACGGUUUUGCUGUCACUUCUAGAUGGAUCCGCGCCGCAUUAGCUAGUUGGUAAGGUAACGGCUUACCAAGGCAACGAUGCGUAGCCGACCUGAGAGGGGGAACGGCCACACUGGAAGUGAGACACGGUCCAGACUCCGACGGGAGGCAGCAGUAGGGAAUCUUCCGCAAUGGGCGAAAGCCUGACGGAGCAACGCCGCGUGAGUGAUGAAGGUCUUCGGAUCGUAAAACUCUGUUAUUAGGGAAGAACAAAUGUGUAAGUAACUAUGCACGUCUUGACGGUACCUAAUCAGAAAGCCACGGCUAACUACGUG
rnacentral:rRNA from 1 species